UCUGCGCUAUAAAAGGAGCUCUCUGACAGCUGGAGGAUGCCAGAGUGUUAACCUUGUGUGAACGCUCCCUCGACUCUAAACCUGCUCCGGGCGUUUCCCCAGUGCUCGCCUGGUGUCUCCAGCUGAUCGCUGAUCACUGCUCCCAACGGCGCAGCUUGGAUCCUGCACGAGUUUACCCGGCCCGCUCAUCGGUCACCCAGUCACCGGAUCACCUCACCCAGGCAGCGCUGAGUCCGCUCCUCCACACCACCUCCCCAGUGCGCUUUCUGAGCUCAGUGCUCGUGCAAACCCCGGUCCCGUGACUCUGCCUGACGCUGACUCAUUGUUUAGUUUUCUCGUUUCUCUGAAUUUAUUUCUGAGCUUUAAUAAAACCCUGAAUCUGCUUCCUGUCUCCCGAGUGUUGUCUGCAUGUGGGCCAAACACGUGAAAAACAUGA